UUAAAAAAAAAAAAAAAGAAUUCAGUCCCACUUCACUAUCCCCCCAGCUAGCAAAGAUGUGUCCUCUUGAACAAUCUUCAGGGAGAGGGAAGCCUUGGCUUCAUUCAGAAUCAAAUGACAUUAUUUCCUCCUACCCAAUAUUAGUCAUAUGCUCAUCCCUUCUUUAUAGUGGAUGACCAGCUCUGUUUGCAUCUCCCUGAACUUCAAAAAGCCCUUUGUAUGCAGAGCUGUUGCAGAGAGGCCAAUGAUUAUGGGAUGAUUUAUUUAUAUUAUUAUGGCACAAUAGAAGUCACUUUGGUCCUUGAAUGUGUUCCAGUGACUCAUGAUAUUUUUUCCGAUGUUUUCUGACCUCUGCUCCUUUCCAAAUUCUCCCAUCUCUGAUAAAUUAGCUUCAAAACCACAGAAAAACCACAGCUGUGUUUGUUCGUCAGGGACUUGAAGAAUGAAAGUAACUGUUUUCAUGAGGAAUCUUCAAAGGAGUCCACAGAUUAUGCCAUUUUGAGAACUACCUUGCAAGAAGAGGGGAUCACUCACAGCCAGAAGCUGAACUCCACAGUACAGUUCUUUAAUAUGGCAAAUGCAAGUCUUCUUUUGUAUGUGAGUACUAAGAAAACAUCUUCCAAGAAUCACUCUGUCUGCAACAGAGAGUGUAGUGAGCUGGAGGCUCUCAGGAAUAAAAGAGGAGACGCACAGCACCCUUAUAAGAAGUGGAACUCUCAUGACAUUCAACAAGGGCAUCUGAUAGACAACUUUGACACCUGAUCUCUGGGGACCUUAUGGAGUCACUCAGAGUUCUUAAGAGACUUCCCUUACUUUAUCAUUCCAGAAAGAAUUGUCACAGGUGGAUGUAUCGCACUUUCUCAGGAGCUGAACCUGACCCUUGAAUCCAUCUCAUUUGCACUGCAGGUUUCACAAUGAAUUAAAAUGGAUUAAGUUGGCUUAAUGCUGUUUUACAAGCAAGUGGAAAGCACUGCACCAUUCAUUUUUAAUUUUAAUCCUUUGUCUUAGCCUGCUAAUUACUAUUGUUUUAAGUUCAUUAUCCUGGCGUGCACAUUGUUACUAGUUGGAUGCUAAUGCUUGUAAGCAGUGUUCUUACUUUUGCAGGUACUGACCCUUCAAUUAUCAAAUUAGUCCAUGUCAUUGCUGAACAGCUGACUUUAUAAUCUACAAUUCACUCUUUAAAAUUUUAUUCUUCUCUUGUCUCUAAUUAAUUAAGCAAUAACACUAUUGAAGCAUCUUAUGCAGAGGCUCAACUUCAAGAGCAUUAAAAAGGAGAAAAGAAACUAAAAUUGGAUAUGUGAUUCCUCAAGUUUCUCUGACAACCUUGGGUCAGAGGAAUUCUAUGAUACCAUGUUUGUCUGUAAAGCUUGCAAAAUAUGAUGAUAGAAAGUAAUGUAAGCCCUAUUUUCUGUCUGAUCACCACUUGUUUCAAAUUCUCCACUAAUUACAACCCAGAUGCCACACUACAAUCAAGAGGAAAGCAUAAGGAAGUAAAGAUGACAUUGCUGAGAAAUGAUAUAAAAACAUGAACCAGUCACAGAAUUCAACAAAUUCACUUCUCGUACAGAUUGAAAUGUCUAAUAUAAUGUUCCUUCUUUUCAAUGCAAGGAUUAUCUCCACAAUGACUUCACAAAGCGCAGUUAGCUCUCUGAACAUUUUCUGUGAUGGGAACUCCACAACUUCAAAUUACAAAGCUUUGAUCAUUACAAAGCUGAUUUUUAUGAAUUGCAAGGGAUCCUCCUUUAACUUUCAUCUACUGGUCAUAGUUCUGUGUUCUGGAGCUGCACACACAUACUCACAGGAAAGACCAUUGCCUUUGCUAUAUGACUAUAUUUCAACUAUUUGAAACUUCUGAUUCCCUAAGUAGCAAAACUUUUAGACUCUUUCAUACUCCAUUCAGUCUCUCCUGCAUAUGGGUUCUCUUUAGUCCUCUUCAGUGUAAACUUUCUUGUCAGACAUUUAAAAUACUUUGGAAAAUAAGCCUAUCCUCAAUAUAGUCCAAUAAAUCCAACCAAAACAUAAAGUCUCAUCACCAGUUGUAUGAGCCUCCAUGAAUCUCGACUCACUGGCUUUGCUUUCCUUCCUCAUCACAGUGGAAGUAGUAUCCCUAAUCCUAAGGACUUUAGAUCGUCUCCCAUCUUGUCUGUCCAAAGACCAACACUUGGAGUUAUCCCUACUCUCUUCUACAUCAGCAAUUUAUCCCUUUCUAUAAGAUCAGUAUAGACCAGUCAUGGUGGCUCAUGCCUGGCAAGCAGAUCUGCCUCACUGUCAUUGACAUCCUUACCACGUGUGCGGCAGACAUCCACUGGCAGAGGUUCUUGCAUUGCACUGAGAAGAAUCUGAUUCCAUACCUGAAGAAGCUGAGUGACACCACGCUAAAGAAAAUGCUGCUAAAUGGGUGGGCUACCUGCAUGAGGGGCUCAACCUGAUGGAGUGACACCUGGUGGAGCAACUCUUCAGCUCAGGGGCUCUCCAGGUGGUAGUGCCUUCUUGGAGUCUCUGCUGGGGCAUGAACAUGGCUGCCCACCUGUAAUCAUCAUGAACACCCAGUACUACAAUGGCAAGAUCCACAUCUACAUGGAUUACCCCAUCUACGACAUGCUUCAGAUGGUGGGCCAUGCCAACCACCCUUUGCAGGACAAUGAGGGGCACUGUGUCAUCAUGUGUCAGGUAUCCAACAAGGAUUUCUUCAAGAAGUUCUUAUAUGAGCCAUUGCCAGUAGAAUCUCACCUAUACCACUGUAUGCAUGACCACUUCAAUGCUGAGAUCAUCACCAAGACCAUUGAGAACAAGCAGGAUGCUAUGGACUACCUCACUUACACCUUUCUGUACCGCCACAUGGCACAGAACCCCAGUUACUACAACAGGCAGGGCAUCUCCCAUCAUCACUUGUUCGACCACUUGUCAGAGCCGGUGGAGCAGACCCUGAGUGACCUGGACCAAAUGCAUCAGCAUCAAGGACAUGAUGGAUGUGGUGCCUCUGAACCUGUGCAUGAUCGCUGCCUACUAUUAAAUCAACUACACCACCACUGAGCUCUUCAGCAUGUCACUCAAUGCCAAGACCAAGGUGCGAGGGCUCAUUGAGAUCAUCUCCAAUGAGGCAGAAUAUGAGAACAUUCCCAUCCGGCACCAUGACAACAACCUCCUGAGGCAGUUGGCUCAGAAGGAACCCAAAAGCUGAAUAACCCUAAGUUCAAUGAUCCCCACAUCAAGACCAACCUGCUCCUGAAGGCUCACCUGUCCCGCAUGCAGCUAAGUGCUGAGCUGCAGUCAGAUAUGGAGGAAAUUCUUAGUAAGGCAAUCUGAUUCAUCCAGGCCUGCGUGGAUGUCCUCUCCAGCAAUGGGUGGCUCAGCCCUGCUCUGGCAGGUAUGGAACAUGCCCAGAUGGUCACCCAAGCCAUGUGGUCCAAGGACUCAUACCUGAAGCAGUUGCCACACUUCACCUCUGAGCAUAUCAAACAUUGCACAGACAAAGGAGUAGAGAGUGUUUUUUAUAUCAUGGAGAUGAAGGAUGAAGAACAGAACACAUUGCAUCAGCUGACUGACAGCCAGAUUGCAGAUGUGGCCUGCUUUUGUAACUGCUACCCUAAUAUUGAAGUGUCUUAUGAGGUGGUGGAUAAGGACAGUAUCCGCAGUGGUGGGCUUGUGGUGGUGCUGGUGCAGCUGGAGCAAGAGGAGGAAGUCACAGACCAUAUCACUGCACCUCUCUUCCCACAGAAACGUGGGUGGUGAUUGGAGAUGCCAAGUCCAAUAGCCUCAUCUCCAUCAAGAGGCUGACCCUGCAGCAGAAGGACAAGGUGAAGUUGGACAGUUGGACUUUGUGGCUCCAGCCACUGGUGCCUACAACUACACUCUGUAUUUCAUGAGUGACACUUACAUGGGAUGUGACCAGGAAUACAAAUUCAGUGUGGAUGUGAAAGAAGCUGAGAAUGACAGUGAUUCAGAUUGAGUCCUGAGGCAUUUACUCGUGGCUAAAAGGAGAGUUGAGGCUGAAUUAGGAAUGUGUACAUUGUAGGGAUCCUGGUUGUGGGUACCAGGUUUGUGGGCCUGAGGUCUGGCUAGCCAGGGCUGGUGCUGUUCCCACCCACCUCCACUUCCUUUUCUCUUGUCAUUCUGGAUGCAAUGACAGCAGGUGUCAUGUCAAGCAUAAAUCAUAUAUAGCAUUUUCAGGCAUGUUCCUGGUAGUUCCUUUUGAGUCUGACAUUCUAAUAAAAUAAUUUGUAGAAAAA